CCCAUUUUACAGAUGGAGAACUGAGACCCAGAGAAAUUAAAUCACUUGUAUUAGGGCGUACAGGAAGCCUGUCACUGAGUCAGGAACUGAACCUAGAUCUCCGGGGUUCUUCUACCUUAACCUUUUCUCUGCAAUGCGAAUGGUAACACUUCCUUUGCAAUGUAAAAGAUCCCAGCAGUCUGUUCUCUCCGUGAGCAUCCAUGCUGCUUGACCAAGAGGCUUGAUUUCCCUACACAACCCCAGGUCCUGGUAAGACAUCAUUCUGGAUUUGCCAUGGGGGUAGGUGCUCUUCUUGUAGUGUCAAUUUUGCUGUGCCUGGUUAGAGUUCUAAGGCCUCAAUACGCUGUUGGCUCACCAGCUCAAUCCCCCUCCGAGUCGAGAGCUCCUCUGAUGGGGGAUGUGAUUUAAAUUCAUCGCUCCUCAGAACUGACUGGCCUUUCAUCCAUCUGAGGAUGAUACAUACACCUAGUACUCCGAGUUUGAGACUAUAACAGUUUACUGUAACAUUAAUAGUCCUCAGAGCCAGUUUUCAAGAGGAUAAUUGCUUAAUUAUAUAUAUAAUGCAAGAAGCCUUCAGGUCACUUCAUUUCAUAAUUGAAUAUUUCAUGGGCCUUUAAUCCCAGUAUCUCAAGGCAUUUUACAAUCCUGAAUGAAUUAAUCCUUACAAUCCACCCCUGAGAGAUAGGGGAGUAUCAUCCUCAUUUUACAGAUGGGGAAAACUGAGGCACAAACAGGUGAAGUGACUUGCCAAAGGUCACAAAGUUUAUCAGUGGCAGAGUCAGGAGUAGGACCCAGGAGUCCUGAUUCUCACUUCCCUACUGCUGCCCCAAGACAAUGCACCUUCCCUUCAAAAUCAGAUUUUUGGGUCUGGGGAAGAAGGGGAAAGAGAUCUGAGUUUAAGUGAGAAAACUACUCUGGGCCCAACCCUACAGAUUAUUACCUAAACAAUCCUUACACAAAUAUUCCCAUUGACUUCAGUGGGACUGCUAAUAUGUGUGGAGCUUGCAGUAUCAGAUCCUGUGCCAGAGUGUUACAUUUACACAUGUUAGCAAAGCAAAUAGAAAAAUAGCAGAGCAGCUGGUGCACAUGUCAUACUUUAAUACGAACUCGUCUGUUUCUGUUAGCAAACGAAAAUGGUAAACAAUUAGCGGGUGGCUUUUUCCCCCCGCCCUGCAAGCCUUUGGAUAAAAGCUACCCAGACGGGAAGCUAAGUACGCUACAGAAUUGAAUGGACCCGGGAAGAUCUCCAUUGUGUUCUGGGGCUCAGUCCUGUAAGAUGCUCAGCACUGUAGCCCUGAGAGAGCAAAGUGCUUAAGAAUUCCUCAGAUGAACAAUGAGGGGAAAAAAUGGACCCAGAGCUGUUUUGCGACAUGCUCAUCAUUCCAAGGCCAUGGCUCUGUUAGUUAGCCAAGUUUAAAAUACCCGUCAAGGCCAUCAUAGACAGUAGAGCCACUCAGGUGAAGCUGCUUAAUGCAGCUUAAAGAUAAGGUCCUCUUGUAACCAAUGAACAAACCACAUAAACAGAGCAUAAACAUGUUCCAUUGCAGGCAAAAGACUUGACAAGACAGAGACAAUCAGGGAGGCUGCUCUAAUUGGCCAGAGGUGCAAAGGAGAAGGGACUUGCACCAAGAGUUGGUGGAUUUCUUUCUCGCUUGUUACAUUCAGUCAUAACAUCCUUCUAGUUUCCAGGCUUCUUUUUUCCCCCCUUGAGAUUUGAACCUGGUGAAUUCGUGCUGAUUUCAUUGAAAUGUUUCACUCAGGGAGAAAAAAAAAAACCUACAAAAAAUCUGAAAAAAU